rnacentral:rRNA from 1 species
UACGUGAGGUGGCAAGCGUUUGUCCGGAUUUACUGGGCGUAAAGAGCGCGCAGGCGGUCGUUCAAGUCGCGUCGUGAAAGCCCCCGGCUCAACUGGGGAGGUCACGCGAUACUGAUCGACUCGAAGGCAGGAGAGGGUAGUGGAAUUCCGGUGUAGUGGUGAAAUGCGUAGAUAUCGGGAGAACACCAGUGGCGAAGGCGACUAC